AAUGGCGGAAAUAAAAAAGAAAUUGAAAGAAAUGAAAGAAAAAGAAAAGAAAGAAGAAAAGAAAAAAAACCAAGUUCUUCCUCUGAGAAUGAUUCGCCAGAGACUGAUGUUGAUGUUUCCUCUGAGUCUGAGUCGGAAAAAGACUCAGAAGAACCUACAAGGAAACAACCCAAAAGGGGACCAAAAAAAUGGAAUCCAGAAAGAGGAAGCAAAUUUUAGAGGAUUCCAAUUCAAAGAGCAUAAGUGAAUCCACUAAUGAGAGUGAAGAAUCCUUACCAGUUAAAAAACAAAAAACAAGCAAAAAAAUUCAUACUUCCGCCAAAAGUGUGAACUGCCUUCGACGGUAUCUCAUAAUCAAUAUUGUUGUAUUUGUCUGAUUCAUAAUAUUUUGAUUUUCAGGACGCAACCCAGAAAAAGAAAGCACGUAAUCGAGGAUUCGUCUUCAGAAGAAGAAAAUCAUUCCUACGAUGGAAUGCCGGAGGUGAGCGUAGCAACCGAGACUGAUCCUUUGUUUCAAGGACAAACGGAGCAGAGCAGUGUAAACAAACCUUCGGAUUCCAUGUAAUUUCUUUCU